CCCCAAGACCUUUUACUUGCCCUUUCUCUGUUAAUUCUAGUAAUGCUCAGUGAGACCCACCACCAAGGGGUGGCCAGAGGUGGAACGGCCAAGUAGAAAUUUCAUUUCCCAACCAAGGGAACAUUUCAAUUUCUAGGAAAUCAAUUGAGCUUCUAUUAAAAACAAUGACACAUCUAUGUGCUUUCCGCAAAUAGGCUGCUUCCUGUUGAAAGGCAGAAAGCUGCCUCUCCCCUGGGCCUCCAGAUGAGCUCUGAUUUAUCCCUCCUGCACCAAGAAUCAUGUGAGCUGAAAGUCCCAUUUCUUACUGAUUGAGACUGAAAAACGCCAGUGCCUCACUGCAGCUCUCCAUGAUGCCUCCUGGGCUUAUUUGAUAACCUCAGAACUGUCUUCUCCACCAGUCUAUAUCCCUCCUCCUAGUCUAUGGACUUCAACACAGCAUCGUACUCCAGAAAUCUGGAAGUAAUGAAGACCAGAGAGUCUCUGGCAGAGAGUGAACCUGGGAGACCACUGCUGUGCAGUUUGACACCCACUGAAGAAGCAAAGCAGCAGCAAAUGACCAGCAAUGACCUUAUUAAGCUGCAUUCUGACAAAAGGAAAUAAAUUGCUCCUACAAAAGAGAGAAAAGAGAAGGAAGGAAGGAGGAGAAAAGAGGCAGAGGGAAGGAGGGUACGUGCUGAGCUGAGCUUACUGAGGAUGGUUCCUAGUUGAGUUAGCAUCAGGUCUUUAGCGUAUGAUGUGUAUGAUGCUACAGCCCAUUAAAGACAGAGACAAACUUUCGGAAAACAAGGGCAUGAGGAGAAAGGAGAAGAAGUUAGUUAUCUUUAGCAAAAUUUAACUUCCGAUAAAGCCCACCUGCUCUUCAAAAUGACAAUUAGGGUGGACCCAGCAAGAAACUGCACUAAACAUGUUUCUCCCUCCAGGCACCUGAGCUGCAGGAGAAGUCUCAGCUCACUUACUGCCCAGAUUUCUCUAUUUUUCUUAGAGACAAACACACUCACAAACACAUUUUAUGAUCUGAUACUUUUCAUUUAAGACAUGCAUUAAUGUCAAAGUGGAAUCACUUAUACCUACUCUGCCUUUGACUUGCACCUAUGAAUCAGUCUUGUGCCUAUGAUCUCAACACAAACAGUUUUGAAAUCACAAGAGAUAUGCCCUCUGCACAAUCCUCUUUAGUUCCAUGUGAUGAAGCACUCAUUGAGCCCCUGUGUUACAAGUUCCUUUACCACACAUUUAGUAGAUACUGAAAUGAACAGUAAAAUCGUCCUGGCCUUUGGAAAAUUCACCAUUCCUGGAAGUAACCAAAAAAAAAAAAAUUAGCAGAUGAUUCAAUGCAGCAUUUUGAUAGAUGUGAUAUGGAUGACAUCUCUACAAAUGAUAGCGGUGUGCUCAAGUUGCUGUGAGAGGACAGGGGACAAAGAGCACAGAGAAAAGCCUGGCGGAGUUGCCCCAAAGCUGUCUCAACUGAUAGGCAAGAGCUGAUGCGGUGAAAAGAGAGAGGCAGAGUAGCAAUUUCCACAAAAAAAAGCAUAAGAUACAGAUUCUAUUCUACUUCUUGGCCAAGUACAUUAUGGAAGGAGACAGAAGAGUAAGCCGAAUUUAGAGAACAAAUGCUUCUAAUUACAUGCCAUGUAACUCAAUCAAUGGGAAGCCUUGGUGUGGUAGAGGCCCAGGACAGAGAAGUUAAGGUCUACAGAUAGCUAGAAAUCAUUAAACAUUUCUUCAGCCCUGUACUUCUCACACCAACUCUCCAUAUUCUCCCCGGACACUGCUCCUGCCCUAGUCUCCUUGCCACUACCUCAAGUCUCUGGGGACACACUGAUCCCCUGUCUGCUUUGACCGGGAUGUGAAAAAAUCCAAUAUUCUCUUAAUUCAAGUAUGAUAACCACCAAAAGAAACUACAAAUAAAACAAACCCAAGUUUUAAAAAACUAAAAAUU
rnacentral:lncRNA from 13 species